UGAUUAAAAAUUAAAGGGCUGCAGUAAUUUGACUGUACAAAGGUAGCAUAAUCAUUAGUCUUUUAAUUGAAGACUUGUAUGAAAGAUUUGAUGAAAUAUAUACUGUCUCUUAUUUAUAAUUAAAAUUUAAUUUUUUAGUUAAAAAGCUAAAAUAAAUUUAAAAGACGAGAAGACCCUAUAGAGUUUUAUAAUUUAUUAUUUAAAAUAUUUAUAUAAAAUUUUAAUAUUUAAUAUUUUAAAUUAUUUUAUUGGGGUGAUAAAAAAAUUUAAAAAACUUUUUUUUAAAAUUAACAUUAAUAAUUGAAUUUUUGAUCCUGAUUAAAGAUUAUAAGAAAAAAUUACCUUAGGGAUAACAGCGUAAUAUUUUUUUUUAGUACAAAUAAAAAAAAAAGUUUGCGACCUCGAUGUUGGAUUAAGAUAAAAUUUAAAUGCAAAAGUUUAAAAUUUUGAUCUGUUCGAUCAUUAAAAUCUUACAUGAUCUGAGCUCAA
rnacentral:rRNA from 1 species